GACGGGGCCCGCACAAGCGGUGGAGUAUGUGGUUUAAUUCGAUGCAACGCGAAGAACCUUACCUGGUCUUGACAUCCCGGAGACCCUUAGGAAACUAGGGGGUGCUUCCAUCUGGAAGAAUCUGGAGACAGGUGCUGCAUGGCUGUCGUCAGCUCGUGUCGUGAGAUGUUGGGUUAAGUCCCGCAACGAGCGCAACCCUUGCCUUUAGUUGCCAGCAGUUCGGCUGGGCACUCUAAAGGGACUGCCGGUGUUAAACCGGAGGAAGGUGGGGAUGACGUCAAGUCCUCAUGGCCUUUAUGACCAGGGCUACACACGUACUACAAUGGCCGAUACAAAGGGCAGCGACACUGCGAGGUGAAGCCAAUCCCGUAAAAUCGGUCUCAGUCCGGAUUGGAGUCUGCAACUCGACUCCAUGAAGUUGGAAUCGCUAGUAAUCGCGCAUCAGCCAUGGCGCGGUGAAUACGUUCCCGGGCCUU
rnacentral:rRNA from 1 species